CUGUGGUCAAUGUGAGAUGUUUCUACUAUGCUAUUGGUAGUUUUUCCCCAUCCUCUGACAGCGACCCUGGCUCAGUCACUGUCCAAGUCCCUCCUCAGCUGACAGUGAGUCCUGAAGUCAUCAGGGAUACAGACACAGUUCAGCUGAGAUGUCACACUUCUCAAUCUACCUCUGUGUCUCAGUGUUACUUCUACAUAGAGGAAAGACAACAUCUCCAACAAACCACAUCCUGUCAACAGUCACUCACAGGGACCAAGCUGCUUGAAUGGGCAGGUCGUGGUCCAACCACCAAGGUCAACAUGAGAUGUAUCUACAAUGCUGUAGAGAUGUCUAUCUACUCUCCUUACAGUGACCCUGUCUCAGUCACUCUCCUGGACCUCCCUCAGCCCAAGCUGACAGUGAGUUCUACAGUCAUCAGAGAGAGAGACUCAGUUCAGCUGAGCUGUCAGACUCCUCCAUCUGUCUCUGUGUCUCAGUGUUACUUCUACACAGAGGGGAGAGAUCCUAAACCCUCACCCUGUACGAAGUCACUCACAGGGGCUGUGCUGCUCUCGUGGGCAGGUGAACGUUUAUCUGCUGAGGUCAAACUGAGAUGUUUUUACACAGUAGAGACUCACUAUCCAUCGACACACAGUCAUCCUGCGCCUAUCACUAUUCUUGGU